rnacentral:rRNA from 1 species
AGUGAACGCUGGCGAUAGGCCUAACACAUGCAAGUCGAGCGGCAGCACAGUAAGAGCUUGCGCUUACGGGUGGCGAGUGGCGGGCGGGUGAUGAAUACAUCGGUGUCUACUGUUUCGUGGGGGAGGACGUGGGGGAUAUUACGGUAAUACUGCUGACGAAGUACGGGGGGGAGCAGCGGAUCUCAGGAUCUCGCGCGAUUGUAGGAGGCGAUGUCGGAUUAGCUAGUUGGCGGGGUAAAGGCCCACCAAGGCGACGAUCCGUAGCUGGUCUGAGAGGAUGAUCAGCCACACUGGAACUGAGACACGGUCCAGACUCCUACGGGAGGCAGCAGUGGGGAAUAUUGGACAAUGGGCGCAAGCCUGAUCCAGCCAUGCCGCGUGGGUGAAGAAGGCCUUCGGAUUGUAAAGCCCUUUUAUUGGGGAAGAAGAGCAGCAGGUUAAUACCCCGCUGUUUCGACGGUACCCAAAGAAUAAGCACCGGCUAACUUCGUG